rnacentral:rRNA from 1 species
AACGAACGCUGGCGGCAGGCCUAACACAUGCAAGUCGAGCGGGGGGCAAUCCCUAGCGGCGGACGGGUGAGUAACGCGUGGGAACGUGCCCUUUGGUACGGAAUAGCCCUGGGAAACUGGGAGUAAUACCGUAUGAGCUCUUCGGAGGAAAGAUUUAUCGCCAAAGGAUCGGCCCGCGUUGGAUUAGGUAGUUGGUGGGGUAAUGGCCUACCAAGCCGACGAUCCAUAGCUGGUUUGAGAGGAUGAUCAGCCACACUGGGACUGAGACACGGCCCAGACUCCUACGGGAGGCAGCAGUGGGGAAUCUUAGACAAUGGGCGCAAGCCUGAUCUAGCCAUGCCGCGUGAGCGAUGAAGGCCUUAGGGUUGUAAAGCUCUUUCGUGGGGGAAGAUAAUGACUGUACCCCAAGAAGAAGCCCCGGCUAACUCCGUGCCAGCCGCCGCCGUAAUAC